CCUACGGGCGGCUGCAGUGGGGAAUAUUGCACAAUGGGCGCAAGCCUGAUGCAGCCAUGCCGCGUGUGUGAAGAAGGCCUUCGGGUUGUAAAGCACUUUCAGCGGGGAGGAAGGCGGUGAGGUUAAUAACCUCAUCGAUUGACGUUACCCGCAGAAGAAGCACCGGCUAACUCCGUGCCAGCAGCCGCGGUAAUACGGACGGUGCAAGCGUUAAUCGGAAUUACUGGGCGUAAAGCGCACGCAGGCGGUCUGUCAAGUCGGAUGUGAAAUCCCCGGGCUCAACCUGGGAACUGCAUUCGAAACUGGCAGGCUAGAGUCUUGUAGAGGGGGGUAGAAUUCCAGGUGUAGCGGUGAAAUGCGUAGAGAUCUGGAGGAAUACCGGUGGCGAAGGCGGCCCCCUGGACAAAGACUGACGCUCAGGUGCGAAAGCGUGGGGAGCAAACAGGAUUAGAUACCCGUGUAGUC
rnacentral:rRNA from 1 species